GCUGCCUGAAAAAGUCAAGAUUCGGCGAGACCGGGCAAAAUUGGCCUUUCUUGGUCUUUGCUCUGUUCUCGUUGCACGACAACGAGCAAAGAGGGGCAGCUGUAGUAGCCCAAUUUUUCCCAGGCUCAAAAUAGAAAGCAAACCAAAUAAAAAUAAACAGUCCAUUUACAGCCGAUAAUUACCAACAAACUCAAUGCCCAAACCAAGCCCAAAACCUAAACUUUUACAGAAAAACAAAAAAAAAACCCUAGCCUCUGACAGCCACCCUACUGCCGCCGCCCUAGGUCAGCCACCACU
rnacentral:lncRNA from 1 species